GGUUAAUAUUAUUAUUAAUGUGAUCUCUCAUCAUUAAAUACGAUCGUUUAAUUCGCGAAUUUCGUUCGCGUCACGCAAGGAUCGAAGUGACGACGGCGAUCGAGAUCGCGGCGAGUUUGGCAAGUUAAUUUUGCGCGUGUAUCGCGUGAUGUGACGUGUGUUCGCGUGGUGUGUUUUGCGAGAUAUACCGAUGAAUUUAAUGUUCGAGAAGAUCUGAUGGAAUUAGCUGUUGGUGCUCAUGGCACAAAUAUUCAACAAGCGUGAAAAGUUGAUGACAUUACAAAUAUAGUUAGAAGAAAAUUCAUGCACAUUUAAGAUAUAUAGAGAGACGCAUGAAGCUGUUAAGAAAGACCGAUCUAUGCUGGAAUACAGCGGUAACCUAAAAAUAGAUAGUGACAGUGACAGAGUCGUAACCAUCGCCGCGUGAUAGAUGAUAGUGAUAGUGA